GGGGUCCCGUGAGAUGACAUAAACUUCAGGCCCCACAGAAUCUAGACCUGCCCUCGCACAGUUGUCUCCUAACCCCUCUGAUCAGGGCAGGGCUUGUGUUUAUUCUCUUAAUUUUUGAGAUGAGGAGAUGGAAGCCCAUAGAGGUAAGCUGCUUGCCCUUGGCUUUGCUGCUAGUGCUAGAAGCCAGCCCUUUUGGUUCUCACUUCAGACAUCUGGUCACACCAGGGAAAUGGAACCGCCAGUCAACCAGGACUCGCCUGAUCAGCGCUAGUGAGGUCACCUGCCUGAGAGACCCCUGCCACCCACUAAAGGAAAGAGCACCUACAAGAAGAUCAGGAUUCCCCAGGAAAUUCUGCCCCCUAAUCCAUGAGAUAGAUCUUGGUCUGGA
rnacentral:lncRNA from 1 species